CCAGUCCGGCUCCAAUUAAAGGACUGUGACAUUCCCAGGCAAGUCUUUUCCCACGAAACAGCUACGGUGGAAACGUCUCUCCACAACGACAACAACUUUGGGCACUCAGAGAUGACAGGUCAUCAUUGUCCACUAAAAGGAAAAGGAGACCUUGGAAAUCAGUGAUAAAACACGGAAAUCAACUGCCCUUAGAUCAGGAGUCGGAAGACGAGCAGAGAGUGGGAGUAGCGAUAGUGGUGGAGGAGUGAACCCGGAGCAGGU
rnacentral:lncRNA from 1 species